AUUUACAGUUUUCUGAAGCAUAAUUAAGUUUUAUUUUUAAAUAAAUUAAAUAACAGCUCAUUUUCAUAUUUUCACUUAUUCCUCAUUUAAAUGGCUGCAAGUAAAAAAGUAUGAGUUUAAAAUAAAACUUGUGAGCAUGUUAUCUUAUUUACUUUAGCAUGUGAUAAAAUACAAUGUAGGACAGAGAAAAUAACCACACCAUCCAUGAAUAACUUAUUUGAUAAAGACCAGGCUUUGUUCUUAAUUAAAUAGUCAAAUACAUAUUGCAUUUAAUGAGUCCCUGAAUAAUAUCCUGCGGUAUCUGUGGAAUCACAUUAUUGAGAACUCCGCAGUUCAUCUCUCAUUUCAGGAAGGAGUGGAGGUAUUCAAUCAUAUUCCAUAAAUGUUUGUUUUGUGAGACAUCAGAUGAAAGUGCUUGCUAAGGUAUUGCUUGUAUACCUAGAAAUGUGUUUAUGGUCAGUUGAACAAUUUGUGGCCUGAUGUUAUCCUGUUGAAAAAUGGUCUCGGGAUCCCUUGAAGAUAUAGUAAUACAGCUAAACAUGCAAAGGCUGUAUUCCCAAGAAGAAAGAUGACUUGUAUUUACUCUCUACAUGAGAACAGAAAGAAAAAUAAAAAAUAAUUAAAAAAAAAAAAAACUGAAUCGAGACCUUUUUAAAAUAUAACAGGAGACAUUCUAUAGACUGCUGGAUUUUCAUAGUUCAGUACACCACAAGGAGACAUCAAGUGAACUUUCUUCGAUAAAGAUUCUAAAUAAACUUCUAGAAGAGUUUCAUUUAAAAAUUGUUUGUUAUGUGAAUUCUUCUGCUUUCAUUUUGUAACAGCUGACUUCCUUCUGCAGUAGCAUUAUAUUUUUGUAAUAAUGUAUGUCACUGUAUCUUUGUAGCUUAUGAUAUGAUUUUAAAAAUAAAAAAUAAAAAAUUAAUGUGAUUGU